rnacentral:rRNA from 1 species
UACGAGGGGGGCAAGCGUUGUUCGGAAUUAUUGGGCGUAAAGGGCGCGUAGGCGGUUUGACAAGUCUGAUGUGAAAUCUCUGGGCUCAACCCAGAGCCUGCAUUAGAAACUGUCGGGCUUGAGUAUGGGAGAGGUGAGUGGAAUUUCCGGUGUAGCGGUGAAAUGCGUAGAUAUCGGAAGGAACACCUGUGGCGAAAGCGGCUCACUGGACCAUAACUGACGCUGAGGCGCGAAAGCUAGGGGAG